GCAACAACUUAAUAUUUCCUUGAAGAAGAUUCAAUCAUGUUAAAAUAAAAUCUUUCAUACAAAACAAACUGUUACACAAUUUAAAAAGCAGCCCCUUUACGUAUGGUUUUUGUAUACAGCCUCUCAAAGGCCUGGCAAUUAUGCCGCACAUGAAGGCUAACAGAAAUGCUAGAUUUCAUUUGCUUUGUUUGAAGCAACAUUUAAAUGAUAAUAGGAAGGAAAUAAUUACACUAUAGAAGUUGUCAGUCAUCAUCCAAUGAGGUUGAUGAUUGGGCUCUACAAGGAUGAGUUGCUUGAAUACAGGUCAAUGCUACCCAACUGCAGCCGUGAAUUUGAUUGCACGUCUUUGACUGCUAGAAACCGGAACCUGAAUGCAUUACAGAAGAAACCUCCUGAUUUAAUUUUGAAUGAUCUACGCUGAAAACGAUUUUCAAAAGCCUGAGAAAUCUGUUUAUCCAAAAUUCGCCAACUGGAUCCCCCAUCAUCACUUCCCUCAAGAACCCAAUCCAUUGGAUCCCUCUCCGGUGCAUCAUUAGCUGACAUUAAAUCAUAUGCCACUAGUUCAUGCAUUUGGUUGUCUGGUAACUUAUACACGAUCCAACAACCUUUUGCACCAUUUGGUUCUUCCCAUUUAGUUGCACGUAGUCCAUCAAAUGCUGAUGUGGAAAUUCCAAAAGGAAGUUCCUCGCCACUUGCAAGAACUGAACCAGAAUGGAUUCUGUUCAAUCUCAUCAAUGGCAACGAAAGGGAAGCUUUGCUUAGGUUACUACAGUUGUUAAGGUUGACAAUCACAUCAUCCAAAGCAUCCAGCACAACAGGCAGUGCUAAAGAGGUUUUCACAGGGUCACCAGCCAAACAGAUGUUCACUUUUUCAUCAGUGUCUAUCUCACUCUUUAGUGAAAGGGCAUUAAGUAACUGAUCAAAAUAAGGCAGCAAAUGAAGCACAAAAGGAUUUACGGAAAUCGUCCUUUUUUCGUAGGAGGAAUUCUUGAGCUCCACCAAAAUUUCUUUAAAGAUCUUCAGUAUUUCAACAGUUCUAGAAUUAGAAAGAGAAUUCUCAAUGAACUGAGAAAGAACAGGGAAAAAUGCAUUGUAAAUGCUUGUCACGUGCACAUCUACGCACAGACGAACAGGACAAGAAGAGCAACUUAAAGAGGAAUCUUCAUUAGAACCAAUUUCAGAUCUGGAAAUGCGCCAUUCCUUAUCCCCGCUUUGUCUUCCAGGUAAAGAGAUUGAAGCAUCGUCUUUGGAAUGUAAACCUUUCUCAAGUUCUUCUAAUUCAUUCUUGUCACGGUCUUCAAGCAUGGAACAAAUCAGAGAUGUAAAACUUUUUCGGCAGUCUCUUGUCAUAUUAGUGAGAGUAGCAGAUAAAUCUGUCUCUCUGAUAAUGUUUCGUCGAGACAAAACCUCAAGCCACUUCCUUGUAUAACGCUUAGUGACAUCAUAAACUCCAUCUUUUGCAAUUGCAAUUACAUAAUUCAAUUUCUUAUCCCACCCCUUUUCAUAUAACAAUGGUCUGUCAUAUACUCGGUCACAAGGGUCAAGAUGCAUCCAUCUUCCCAAAACUUGAGAGAAGCACUCCGUCCAAAGAUGAUCAGUAAAAUCCAGGAUCAAACGAGAUUCAUAGCCAAAAGCUCGACAGUAAAGUGUAAAGCAAUUGGCCCACUCCCCACAACGGCCCCUUCUAGUUUCUACGAGCUUUAAUGGAUCAUUGUAACGUGGGAAUCGAGUGAUUCUGGAACAAGAAUUGCAGUGAUAAAGUUCAACUCGACUUGCUCCAUAUUGACUUUCAGAAGGAAUAGUAACACCCAUUCCUUGAUUAAUGGUAUCAUUGCCACAACUAUCACAAGGUGGUGCGUUAACCCACCUACAUUAUCCAAAAAUUAUAAUCACGAAAAAAAACAAGAAAUCGUUUGUCAGCAACAUAUGCGCAAACUCAUUAAAGCUAUUUAACGUAAACAUGUGCUAAAUUUUUUUAUUGAACUAAACAUCUCACAUCUUUCAGUAGAGUACGAAAGGUUCUGAAAAUCUUGGGGACCGGCCUUUAUGGCUUUUGGGUUUGUAAAGGCAUGGACAAGUAUGCAUGCAUUUGAAUCAUAGGGACAUGGAACAAAAAAUUAAAGAAAUCAAAGCUUCAUAAGGGGUCAUGCCACUAGUACAUAUUUUUUAGGCCAAUCUGCUAUUCACUAAUCAAUAUUUCGUUAAAUGUAAGAGGAACUCCAAGUAAAGAAAAAGCAUGAGUAAUGAAAGACACCUGAAAGAUUCUUUGGACCAGAAAAGCAGCUGCAGCAGGAAAGCAUGGUCUUUUUCAAUUUUUGAUGGUUUAAAGUUCCCCUCCUAACACAUAUUUAUCAGAAUCACCAAGGCAUAUUAACAGAAGAAAUUCUCAAAUCAUAAAGAUUUGUAAAGCAUGAAACUAGCUUGAUCUCAGGAAUGCAAGUAGCCUUUUCUGUUCAAACAAUUUGACAAAAUUGCAGAUCAUAUAAGCAUUGAGAAGGAUAUUCGGUUGAAUUUUAAUCUGUUUGAGAGCUGAAACAUUAAUUGGCACCACAGGAUAAUCUCAGUGAUUAGUAUGCAUGCAGAUUCUGCAAGACAUAGAGUCUAGCAAAUGGUAGUAAAAGUGUUUCAUGUGUCAUUAUGAGAAAGGGGUAAAGAACAAGUACGUAAAAGAGCUAUUUCAUUGCGAAAUAUUAAGGUGCGUAUGUAGUUAGAGUCUAGAAAAUGGCAGCACAAGUACGACAUGCAUGCUACGACCAAAUCAAGUGCUCAUUUUUAUAUUAGGAAAAAAGAUCUUACCUUGGCCAAAGAAACCAAUGCCUUCUCCUCAAGCUCUUCUACAGGAACUGUUUUUCGCGCUGCCUCCUGGCGCGCUGGGUCUUCAUACUACAGUAACAACAUGUCAAUUACUCGAUAACUAAUCAACCUCCCAAAAAAAAAUCCUGUCAAGUAAAAUCUAUUUAUUGUCUUCUUCAAGCCAAUAUAAGAAUAAGUUUUCUCCAACAAUUUCCAAGUACAAACAAAUUGGGAGUGCAAGCAUCACAUUAUCACACACUAGUACACUAUAAAAAAGAGGGGGAAAACAAAGUUACAGUUACCAUUAGGACUUUACUGAUGUAAGGCUGUAUUAUCUGCUCAAAUUCUUCGCUCUGUCCGCUCACAGCAAACUGCUGCAGCAUUAGCGCCUCUUCCUCUGCCUGCAGCAUUCGUGCCAAUUCCUCAUCCGAUACCAACGAAUUGGCAUUGUCCUGUGCUACAGAGCCAUUACUAGUGGUGGAUUCCUCUUCAUCGAUUGAUACCAAUCGGCUCUCGUCCUUUUCAUCGAUUGAUACCAAUUUGAGCUGGUUAGAAAUGGAGAAGAGAUCAGAGUCGUCUGAUACAACACGAUCAUCAUCUCCUCCAAUGAUCUUCUGGUCAUCGGGAGGAAUUGAAGUGAGGGAGAAAAGCUGGAAUUUGAAAACUUCGAAGCCGUCGUCGGUGUCGUAGUCGACGUCGAAGGUGGAGUCGCUGUAGCGAACGACGAAUUUGCGAGCUACCAUCUUUAUCCUUUGCUUCUCCCUCUCUCCCUCUUUUGUCUUCUCUGCCACGGAAUGGCCGUCUUGGUAUUUAAUGACAAACUGAUAUUCUUUUCUUUUCUUCUUCUUCUUCU
rnacentral:misc_RNA from 1 species